AAGUCGUAACAAGGUAUCCGUAGGUGAACCUGCGGAUGGAUCAUUAACACAUUUCCAAAUGUUACUUACCAAGCUAAUCGUGAACCCUGAGAGCGUGCUCUCCUUUUUUAUAAACCACUUGUACAAAUCUUGAAGCACUCAACCUUUUUUGGCGCGCGUUUUUGGGUCGCUUGCAUUUUCAAAUGCGGGCAACUCGAGGACGAGCGUCGAGAAAUGAUAUACGUAACGAAAGAACAACUCUUAACAACGGAUAUCUUGGUUCUC
rnacentral:misc_RNA from 1 species